UAUCUCUUUCUUUCUUGAGGUUUUCUUCCUUUGUAUCAGAAUGAAGGUCCCUGUAUCUCACGCUUCUGUGUGUACAAUGAAGGCAGAUAAUGAACAUCUCCUGCUCAGUUUAUGAUUCUGCAACUGGAGUGGCAUCUGUGCUGCAACAUUGGCUGCAGUGACUUGUGGCUGGAGUUCUCUGCCUUUCAUGGUGGGAAUGGAUAGCUUGGCCUCACAGACAAAAAGGGAUGUGACUGCAUUGGCCAGAAAAGUUAAAAUCAGCAGCAGAAAGUGACCUCUGUCUUCUGUUAAAACAGCAUGUGUAACCUGGCAACCCAGCGUGACCUAUGGAAGAGUUUAUUUUGGCUUCUGGUCCCAGAGGGGUGAGUGUCCAUCAUGGGAGCAUUGCAGCAACAAGUAGGCAUGUGGCAGGAACAGGAAGCUGAAUGCAUGCAUCUUCAAUCAGAAACAUGAAGCAGAAAGAAAACUGGAAGUGGGGCAAGACUAUGAACUCUCCAAGCCUCAAAGCCCUUCCUCCCAGUGAUGUGUUCAGUCCAGCAAGGCCAUAUCAUCUAAAGAUUCCAUGACUUUACCCAAACAGUGCCACCAACUGGAGACCGAGUGUUCAAAUACUUGAAGUUAUGUGGGACCUUUCUCAUCCACAUCACUGCAUUCUACUCCCUGGCCCCAGAGGUCCAUGGCCAGGUCAUAAUGCAAAAUGCAUUUAGUCUGACUUUGAGUCCCCACAGUCUUUCACAGUUUCAACAAUGUUCAAAAGUUCAAAGUCUCUUCUGAGGCUCAAGUUAACCUCUUACUGUAAUUCCCUGCAAAGUCAAAAAGUGAACUAUGUACUUCCAACAGACAGUGGCACAAAAUAUAAAUUCCCAUUUUAAACAGGUGGAAUGGUGGCAUAAUAAGGAAAUAUGGGACAAAAGGAAGAUCAGCAGGACGGAUCAGGGAGGUGUGACAAGUGGCAGGCUGUUGGGAGCUAUUAAUCCAUUAUGUACAUUGAGCUAUGGCAGGCUUGUUUACUGAGUUUGUGUU